CCAAAAAUCCACCCAGCCGUCAGCCUGGAAAAUCCGCUAAGGUUAGGGCAGAAGAAUCCGUACCACAAACCGACACAGGUGGACAAGAUGAGUAUUCUCAGGCGCUCGGGUGAUGGUCUGCGAAGGAACUAGGCAAAUUAGCUCCGUAACUUCGGGAGAAGGAGUGCCCACCUCAGACGUGGGUCGCAGUGAAUAGCGUCAGGCGACUGUUUAACAAAAACACAGGUCUCUGCUAAGUCAAAAAAACGACGUAUAGGGGCUGACGCCUGCCCGGUGCCGGAAGGUUAAAAGGAGGGGUUAGUCGCAAGGCGAAGCUCUGAAUUGAAGCCCCGGUGAACGGCGGCCGUAACAAUAACGGUCCUAAGGUAGCAAAUUCCUUGUCGGGUAAGUUCCGACCUGCACGAAUGGCGUAACGAUCUGACGACUGUCGGCGCAGGCCGCCCGGCGAACUUGUGGUUCCGGUGACACGCCGGAUGCCCGCCACUAGACGAAAAGACCCCGUGCACCUUUACUAUACUUUAACAAUGAAUUAUGGGAUGGACUGCGUAGGAUAGGUGGGAGGCUUUGAACCCGGAUUCUUGGAUUCGGGGGAGCCAAUGGUGAAAUACCACCCUGUUUAUUCUGUGAUUCUAACCUACCGACCUGAUCGGCCGGAGGGACAUUGUUAGACGGGUAGUUUGACUGGGGCGGUCGCCUCCAAAAUUGUAACGGAGGCGUGCGAAGCUUGGUUCAGGAGGUUUGGAAAUCCUCCUUCGAGUGCAAUAGCAUAAACCAGGUUGACUGUGAGACCUACAAGUCAAGCAGCUGCGAAAGCAGGCUAUAGUGAUCCGGUGAUUCUGUAUGGAAGGGUCAUCGCUCAACGGAUAAAAGGUACGCCGGGGAUAACAGGCUGAUCGGAGUCAAGAGUUCAUAUCGACGCUCCGGUUUGGCACCUCGAUGUCGGUUCAUCGCAUCCCGGGGGUGUAGAAGCUCCCAAGGGUUAGGCUGUUCGCCUAUUAAAGCGGUACGUGAACUGGGUUCAGAACGUCGCGAGACAGUUCGGUCUCUAUCUGUGGUGGGCGUAGGAAAUUUGAAAGGAUCUGCCUUUAGUACGAGAGGACCGAGGUGGACGAACCUCUUGUGAUCCAGUUGUCCCGCCAGGGGCACCGCUGGGUAGCGAAGUUCGGUUAGGAUAAGCGCUGAAUGCAUAUAAGCGCGAAACCUUCCUUAAGAUGAGAUUUCCCAAGCGCAAGCUAUGAAGGGCCGG
rnacentral:rRNA from 1 species